AGAGCGAACGCUGGCGGCAUGCUUAACACAUGCAAGUCGCACGGUUGGGGGGCAACUUCCGGCAGUGGCGGACGGGUGAGUAACGCGUAGGGAUCUGUCCAUGGGUGGGGGACAACCUAGGGAAACCUGGGCUAAUACCGCAUAAUACCUACGGGUCAAAGCAGCAAUGCGCUGAAAGAGGGGGUCGCGGCCGAUUAGCUAGUUGGCGGGGUAAUGGCCCACCAAGGCAGUGAUCGGUAUCCGGCCUGAGAGGGCGCACGGACACACUGGAACUGAAACACGGUCCAGACUCCUACGGGCGGCAGC
rnacentral:rRNA from 1 species